UCCGUGAGUAAUCCGUCCCACCCCUUUCUCAACUUGCCCUUUCACCGGAUAUUACUCCACUUGGCCGGUAGCCACCUCUCCUCAGAGCAUCGUUGCCGUCUUCUUCGGAAAACCCGAGUGACGCGCGCCCGCGCAGUUGCGCGCCGGCCCUUCGGGGUUCGCCUCCCGUUCCAGAAAGAGGCGUGACUCACCCACCCCGCCAAGGGCCGCCCCAGCGAAGUCCCGGGUCGAGGCCGGGAAAACGCGCGCGCUCAGAAGUUGAGCCAGGAGAGGGCGGAGGGAAAAAGGGUUUGAGGUGUAUAAAGAGAGACCCGCGACGGGUAGAGGAGAAGGGCGAGCGCGCCGCCGAUUGCGCCCCGGGGAUUCGUCGCGAGGUCUUUUUUUUUGAGCCGCUUUUGGGCAGGCACCAUGGAAGUGCUCUCUGGAAGCCUGCGGGUUUUUUUGCCCGCAGCCUCGUGGUUGCUGCUCCUGCCGCUUUGCGGGAUGGUUUCUCCCCAGAAGACGUCCGAAGAAAGUAGAAGGAUCUGUCUGCAGCCACCCCUUAAAGGCCCUUGCCGAGGAAUGAUCUCCAGAUGGCACUACGACAGAUACUCACAAACUUGUAAAGAGUUUACGUAUGGGGGUUGUCAAGGGAAUGACAACAACUUCUUGAGCUGGGGCGACUGUUCGAAAACAUGUAGCUCCAUCAAGAAAGUGCCUAAAAUAUGCAGAUUGGAAGCUGACGAAGGACUCUGUAGAGCAUUAAUGCAGAAAUACUUCUUCAACCUCACAUCAAUGACAUGUGAGAAAUUUUACUAUGGAGGAUGUUAUGGAAAUGAAAACCGGUUUGAUGAUGAAGAAUCCUGCAUGGACAUUUGCCUGCCAGUAAAAACUGGCCCCUCAUUUUGCUAUAGUCCAAAAGAUGAAGGAUUAUGUUCAGCUUCAGUGCCUCGCUUUUAUUAUAAUGCAAAGACAAAAACGUGUGAGAAAUUCACCUACACUGGAUGUGGUGGAAACAAUAACAACUUUCUUACACCAAAAGCCUGCCUGAAGGUCUGCAAAAAAGCAGGGAAAAAGAAACCCUAUUUUAUAAGACGAAUAAAAGCCGGCGCACAAGGAUAAAGUCUACAACAGAUGAAGAAGUAUUUAUAGUAGAUGCAUUAUUUUAAUUUGCAAAAAGCUUUAAUUUAUUAUGAUUGCUCUUUUCAAAAAUGUAACUAUGUACUUUUUUUUACCCUGUGAUCAAUUUUUGAGUUGUGACAAGUCAAAAUUGCAAUGAUUCAGCAAGAGCAAUCUGUAUAUAGUGCACUUCUCCAGACUGGAACCGUUUUGCUGGAUUUUCUGCUGGGAAAUAGAAACUUAUAAGUAGGUUGCUAUCCUUCAUUAAGAUAUCUUAAUGAACAAUAGUGAACUCAGAACACACUACUGUACAGUUGCUGAAUAUGACUGCCACUUUUUUUUUGUAAAGACUGUAAUUAUUUAGUCUACGACUAAGGCACUAAAUGCAUGUUUCCUUUUCCCGACCAAUUAAUAGUUUAGUUUUCACAUUUUACUACCCAGAAUCCUUUAUCCAGCUAAGCUGCCUAGAGCAGGGGUCCUCAACCCCCGGAUGGCGCACAUACCACUCACGCACGAAUGACAAUGCCCCGCCCAGCCGCUGAACCAGUCCGUGGUUCGAAAAAGGUUGGGGAUCACUGUCCUAGAGGAUUCUGGAAAUUGUAGUUUAAAAUGGCUCCUUUUCCAAAUUGGGAAUAAAUUAUCGCCGAGUGGAUGAACCACAGCUUUGCAUGUGGAUUGUUCAGGUUCAGUCCCUGGCAAUCUGCAGUUAAUAAAAGCAUCAAGCAGGAAGCAGUAGAAAAGACUUCUUUACAAAACACUGGAGAACUGCUGCCCUGAUGGCGCAGUGGUUAAACUGCUGUACUGCAGCCAAACUGCUCAGAAGCUGGGGUUCUAUCCCAGGUAGCUCGCUCAAG